UCAUAAACAGUGAAAAGGAAUAGUAGAAAGAACCAUGUUUUAGAGAGCGUAUGGCUGGUGAAAAUACGUACAGAAGCUUUUGAACUCGCCUUUGAGUUAUUUUACUGAACAAAUGAAAGAAGUACAGGGGAACUCUGUCAUUUCUUUUCAUUCUAAUUAAGUAAGAUCGGUGACGGCCGUUAUAACGUUUGAGGCUUGUAUAAUACAAGUGAACUUAGGUGGUACCACGUUGCUUAUCAAACGUCCUAUAG
rnacentral:ncRNA from 1 species